UGAAACUACAUACACUCAUUCACAUUACAAUAGCCAGUUUAACCAACAAAUCUUGCAUACCCAGGAACUUCAAACUUCACCCGGAUAACCAAACAAUAUUCCACACAAUCACAAAUAUUGCAGUCUACAAAUAAAACGCUCUGCAAGUGUAAAAGAUGACUACUCUUGGAUACCAUGGAACAUGCUCUUCGACAUGGAAAGAAGUCAUCAACGAUGUUCUACCAACGG
rnacentral:lncRNA from 1 species